CGGAGGGUGCAAGCGUUGCUCGGAAUUAUUGGGCGUAAAGGGUAGGUAGGUGGUCUCAUUUGUCUGGGGUGAAAGCCUUGAGCUUAACUCAAGAAGUGCCCCAGAAACGGUGAGACUAGAGUCCUGGAGAGGGUCGUGGAAUUCCCGGUGUAGCGGUGAAAUGCGUAGAGAUCGGGAGGAACACCAGAGGCGAAGGCGGCGACCUGGACAGGUACUGACACUCAACUACGAAAGCGUGGGGAGCAAACAGGAUUAGAUACCCUGGUAGUCCACGCUGUAAACGAUGGGUACUAGGUUUGGUGGGUCUUGACCCCCGCGAACCGGCGCUAACGCAAUAAGUACCCCGCCUGGGAAGUACGGUCGCAAGACUA
rnacentral:rRNA from 1 species